CCUCCGGGAGGCAGCAGUGAGGAAUAUUGGUCAAUGGGCGAGAGCCUGAACCAGCCAAGUAGCGUGAAGGAUGAAUGACCUACGGGUUGUAAACUUCUUUUAUAUAGGAAUAAAGUGAGGAACGUGUGCCUUUUUGUAUGUACUUUAUUAAUACGGAUCGGCUAACUCCGUGCCAGCAGCCGCGGUAAUACGGAGGAUCCGAGCGUUAUCCGGAGUUAUUGGGUUUAAAGGGCGCGUAGAUGGUUUGUUAAGUCAGUUGUGAAAGUUUGUGGCUCAACCAUAAAAUUGCAAUUGAUACUGGCAGUCUUGAGGACAGGUGAGGUAGGCGGAAUUCGUGGUGUAGCGGUGAAAGGCUUAGAUAUCACGAAGAACUCCGAUUGCGAAGGCAGCUUACUAAACUUCAACUGACAUUGAUGCACGAAAGUGUGGGUAUCAAACAGGAUUAGAUACCCUAGUAGUC
rnacentral:rRNA from 1 species